AAUGAGCUCCAGGAAAUGAAAGCAAUAGGUUUUUUUUUUUUUGCUGCUUUUGUUUUCCUUACUUUUUGUCCUGUUUGCUCAUUGAUACGUCUUCGGGAAGGUCGGGUUUGAAUUUUUUUUAAACUGGACCACAAUUUUCCUACCUAAGAUUUUCUGAGGAGUUGGGAUUACAGCCAUAAACUACCAUGCCUGAGCUGUCCCCAUCUUGGGUGAAGCCCGCAGUGGCCUGAGGCAGCCUCAGGGGGUGAGUCAGGGAACAGCUGUGACAAACUCAGAAAACCUCCUGUCAGUCAUCAUGAAGCUCAUGGGAGAUUUGGAUCUUGAAUUGAAAGCAGCACCUGUGCAUGUUGGAAAAGCGCUCUACCAUGAACCAUGUCUCCACAGAGAGAACCAAUAAAGGGCACAGGAUGUGAUA